GAAGCUGGAAUCGCUAGUAAUCGCGGAUCAGAAUGCCGCGGUGAAUACGUUCCCGGGUCUUGUACACACCGCCCGUCACACCAUGGGAGUCGGAAAUGCCCGAAGUCUGUGACCUAACCGUAAGGAAGGAGCAGCCGAAGGCAGGUCGGAUGACUGGGGUGAAGUCGUAACAAGGUAUC
rnacentral:rRNA from 1 species